rnacentral:rRNA from 1 species
UCCCAUAGUACGGCGAGUGAAGCGGGAAGAGCACAAAUUUUAAAUCUACCUGGUUUUACUGGGUCGAGUUGUAAUUUGAAGAAACGUUUUUAAUGUUCCGGGUUGGUUUAAAUCCUUUGGGAUAAGGUAUCAUGGAGGGUGAGAAUCCCGUGUAUAUCAACUGCUGGGAUGUUAUUAAUACGUUCUCUAAGAGUCGAGUUGUUUGGGAAUGCAGCUCUAAAUGGGUGGUAAAUUUCACCUAAUGCUAAAUAUAAGCGAGAGACCGAUAGCGAACAAGUACCGUGAGGGAAAGAUGAAAAGAACUUUGAAAAGAGAGUUAAAUAGUACGUGAAAUUGUUGAAAGGGAAACGAUUGAAGUCAGUCAUGCCGGCGAGAAUCAAUUUUGGGGAAGGGGGAUUUUUUUGAACCUAACCUUGAAGUGCACUUCUUYGCUUGGCAGGUUAGCGUCGAUUUUGAACGUCAUAAAAUGAUUGGGGGAAGGUAGCUCUUUCNGGAGUGUUAUAGCCCUUAAUUAAUGUGAUGUUUGGGAUCGAGGAUUGCAACGGAUACCUUUUAGGCUAGCCGCCUGGCCUCUGAUUCGAUGUCGGGUUAUAGACAGCACGCUUACUAUGAUUUGAUUAUUGGUCAAAAGGUUAGAGCGAGCAUAAUUCGUAAGGAC